UACGGAGGGUGCAAGCGUUGCUCGGAAUUAUUGGGCGUAAAGGGUAUGUAGGUGGUCUCAUUUGUCUGGGGUGAAAGCCUUGAGCUUAACUCAAGAAGUGCCCCAGAAACGGUGAGACUGGAGUCCUGGAGAGGGUCGUGGAAUUCCCGGUGUAGCGGUGAAAUGCGUAGAGAUCGGGAGGAACACCAGAGGCGAAGGCGGCGACCUGGACAGGUACUGACACUCAACUACGAAAGCGUGGGGAGCAAACAGG
rnacentral:rRNA from 1 species